rnacentral:misc_RNA from 1 species
GAAAUGCGAUAAGUAAUGUGAAUUGCAGAAUUCAGUGAAUCAUCGAAUCUUUGAACGCACAUUGCGCCCUCCGGUACUCCGGGGGGCAUACCUGUUCGAGCGCCGUUGUACUACUGAGGCUCAGCCUUGCGGUGGCCGAUGCUCUGACCCAGGGAUGGGGCGGAGGACGGCUCAAACGAAUGGGCGUUUCCUGAGGUCUGGCCAGCGUAGCAAGUCUAUUCGCUGAGGCAGAGGUUUGGGGAGCGCCAGUUUUACGACACUUGGCCUCGGAUCAGGUAGGGAUACCCGCUGAACUUAA